UACGUAGGUGGCAAGCGUUAUCCGGAAUUAUUGGGCGUAAAGCGCGCGCAGGCGGUUUCUUAAGUCUGAUGUGAAAGCCCACGGCUCAACCGUGGAGGGUCAUUGGAAACUGGGGAACUUGAGUGCAGAAGAGAAAAGCGGAAUUCCACGUGUAGCGGUGAGAUGCGUAGAGAUGUGGAGGAACACCAGUGGCGAAGGCGGCUUUUUGGUCUGUAACUGACGCUGAGGCGCGAAAGCGUGGGGAGCAAACAGG
rnacentral:rRNA from 1 species